CCUACGGGUGGCAGCAGUGAGGAAUAUUGGUCAAUGGGCGAGAGCCUGAACCAGCCAAGCCGCGUGAAGGAUGAAGGAUCUAUGGGUUGUAAACUUCUUUUAUAGGGGAAUAAAUUGAGGAACGUGUUCCGUAUUGUAUGUACCAUAUGAAUAAGCAUCGGCUAACUCCGUGCCAGCAGCCGCGGUAAUACGGAGGAUGCGAGCGUUAUCCGGAUUUAUUGGGUUUAAGGGGUGCGUAGGUGGUUAAUUAAGUCAGGGGUGAAAGGUUGGGGCUCAACGCUGAACGUGCCGUUGAAACUGGUUGACUUGAGUUGACGUGAGGUAGGCGGAAUGCGUGGUGUAGCGGUGAAAUGCAUAGAUAUCACGCAGAACUCCGAUUGCGAAGGCAGCGUACUAAACUAUAACUGACGCUGAGGCACGAAAGCGUGGGGAUCAAACAGGAUUAGAUACCCUUGUAGUC
rnacentral:rRNA from 1 species